GGCCUCAUGGUGUAACAGUAACACAUCUUCAGUUGAUAAUUACUUGUAUUGCUUGCAUUUGAGGAAGUCCCUUGUUUGAAUCAGGGUGAGGCCU